rnacentral:ncRNA from 1 species
GGCGUGAGUAGAAGCGGUCAGCCGGGCCGCCUCCGAUAACGUGAGGUAACUGCGCUCGGUCGGAAAUUGCUCACCUU